AUCGAACGCUGGCGGCAUGCCUAACACAUGCAAGUCGAACGAGUGGCGGACGGGUGAGUAAUGUCUGGGAAACUGCCUGAUGUAGGGGGAUAACUACUGGAAACCGUAGAUAAUACCGCAUACCACCCGUUGUGGCCAGACGGGAUUAGCUAGUAGGGGGGGUAAAGGCUCACCUUGGCGACGAUCCCUAGCUGGCCUGAGAGGUGUACCGGCCACACUGGAACUGAGACACGGUCCAGACUCCUACGGGAGGCAGCAGUGGGGAAUAUUGCGCAAUGGGCGAAAGCCUGAUGCAGCCAUGCCGCGUGAUUGAAGAAGGCCUUCGGGUUGUAAAGUACUUUCAUCGGGGAGGCGGUACCCGCAGAGAAAGCACCGGCUAACUCCGUGCCAGCAGCCGCGGUAAUUC
rnacentral:rRNA from 1 species